GACGAACGCUGGCGGCGUGCUUAACACAUGCAAGUCGAACGGUGAAGCGCCUUCCUUUUUGGUGGGUGUGGAUGAGUGGCGAACGGGUGAGUAACACGUGAGUAACCUGCCCCCUUCUUCUGGAUAACCGCAUGAAAGUGUGGCUAAUACGGGAUAUUCUGGGUCUGUCGCAUGAUGGGUCUGGGAAAGAUAUUGUUUCGGUGGGGGAUGGGCUCGCGGCCUAUCAGCUUGUUGGUGGGGUGAUGGCCUACCAAGGCGGUGACGGGUAGCCGGCCUGAGAGGGUGGACGGUCACACUGGGAAGGAGACACGGCCCAGACUCCUACGGGAGGCAGCCGUGAGGAAUAUUGCACAAUGGGCGCAAGCCUGAUGCAGCGACGCCGCGUGAGGGAUGGAGGCCUUCGGGGUGUGAACCUCUUUCGCCAGUGAAGCAGGCCUGCCUCGUUUGUGGGUGGGUUGACGGUAGCUGGAGAAGAAGCGCCGGCUAACUACGUG
rnacentral:rRNA from 1 species